AGUGAACGCUGGCGGUAGGCCUAACACAUGCAAGUCGAACGGCAGCACAGUAAGAGCUUGCUCUUACGGGUGGCGAGUGGCGGACGGGAGAGGUAUACAUCGGAAUCUACUUUUUCGUGGGGGAUAACGUAGGGAAGCUUACGCUAAUACCGCAUCUGACCUACGGGUGAAAGCAGGGGAUCUUCGGACCUUGCGCGAUUGAAUGCGCCGAUGUCGGAUUAGCUAGUUGGCGGGGUACAGGCCCACCAAGGCGGCGAUCCGUAGCUGGUCUGAGAGGAUGAUCAGCCACACUGGAAGUGAGACACGGUCCAUACGCCUACGGGAGGCAGCAGUGGGGAAUAUUGGACAAUGGGCGCAAGCCUGAUCCAGCCAUACCGCGUGGGUGAAGAAGGCCUUCGGGUUGGAAAGCCCGUUUGUUGGGAAAGAAAAGCAGCAGGUUAAUACCCCGCUGUGCUGACGGUACCCAAAGAAUAAGCACCGGCUAACUUCGUG
rnacentral:rRNA from 1 species